rnacentral:lncRNA from 1 species
GGUGGCCUUCACAAGACGUUAUACACACCUAUUCGGCUGCAAUGACACCGGUCCCAAUUGUGAUCACUGUCAAGUGCCAGAAACACUUGAGCACAUAUUUUCUACCUGCCCAGCAUAUGCACUUGACCGACAGAAAUUGGUUUCCGCGACUGAACGAUUUUAUAAUAGGCCCUUAACUGAUGAGGUUGUGUUGCGCCCUUGGCCUGACGCCAACAGUGCAACUGUGGUCGUACGAGCGGUCACAG